rnacentral:ncRNA from 2 species
GUGCCUUUGGUCGUGUCUGGUGCCCCGAAUUGGGGAGAAUCGGGAAGCUGGUGAAAGUCCGGCACGUGCCCAACGCUGUGAAGGUGAUGAUCUUUGUUUAUGCCACUGGAGCAAUCCGGGAAGGCGCUCAGAUCAGAAGACCCUAAGUCAGAAGACCGGCCAGACAGCAUAGCCUGUU